rnacentral:rRNA from 1 species
UGCGUAGGCGGGCUAAUAAGUCAGUGGUGAAAUCUUUCGGCUCAACCGAGAAACUGCCAUUGAUACUGUUAGUCUUGAGUUCGGUUGAGGUAGGCGGAAUGUGUAAUGUAGCGGUGAAAUGCUUAGAUAGUACACAGAACACCAAUUGCGUAGGCAGCUUACUAGACCGACACUGACGCUGAGGCACGAAAGCGUGGGGAGCGAACAGGAUUAGAUACCCUGGUAGUCC